rnacentral:misc_RNA from 1 species
GGAGGGAUCAUUAAACAAAACACCCAAAGUCUGUGGUGCGCCCCCCAGGGGUGUGCUGCAGCAAACAGACACUGGUAUGACUAAAUGUGAUUAUAGAAUUUUCUAAACCAUUAAAUCAGUGACACCAACCAAUGUGUUGGGUAGAGUCGUGAGGCAGAACACUUGAAGUGUGUUGUGAGCUACAGAGUCGUUGUCUAUGCUAGGAUUAGUAACUGUGAUGUACUUUACAGUGAAAACCCCUUUGUGUGGCAACUCUCUUCACACACAUAGACUGGUAAGUAUCCAAAUGGCACUACUUGACACACUUGUGAGGUGUUGCACACUGUGACAUAGAUCAAUGUGUUGGUGCAGGUUGUGAGGUGAACAACUGAAUGACCAUACUGACACCACUUGUGAAGUGUUGCAAAAAACAAUAAAUUAUACAACUCUCAGCGAUGGAUCCCUAGGCUCCUCUAUCGAUGAAGAGCACAGCGAAAUGUGAUAAGUAAUACGAAUUGCAGAAUACAGUGAGUCAUCGAAAUCUUGAACGCAUUGCACCGUCGGGGUAACCUGGCGGUAUGCCCCAUUGAGUGUCAUUUUUCAAUAAGCAAAGCAUUCACAAAAAUCAUUGUGGAAGCGCAUCGACCCGCGCCACAAGGUGUAGGUUGGUGGACUUGGAUUUCAGUGAACCAUUUGGUUGGUGAGUUGACUUCUUAAAUUAUAAAAGGACCACACUAUAACAGUUGGUGAAGUGGAGCAUUGACUCCACAACAGGCUUCGUCUAGAUGAGCAUUUAUUGCAUCAACCUGACUUAGCAAUCUGUCCGACUCGAGUAUGUGAGGUUCUCUCUAUUGAGAAAAAUAAACACUUCCUCAGUUUGUAGUGCCUUGAAAAAAAAGGGUACACAAAAACAACACUAUGACCUCAAUUGGGACAUGACUACUUGCUGAACUUAAGCAUAUCAAUAAGCAAAGGAAAAGAAAUUAACAAAGAUUCCCUCAGUAACUGCGAGUGAAGCGGGAAUAGCUCAAUCUCUAAUCUGCCGUGGACAUCUGCGGCCGAAUUGUAGUUUUGUGAUCAGCUUCAAGUCCUGACACAGGAUCUAAGUCUCCUGGAACGGAGCACCAAAGAAGGUGAUAGUCCUGUGAGAUCCUGUGGAUGGGGCAUAUGUUGCUGUAUCAACGAGUCGAGUUGUUUUGUAGUACAGCUCAAAAUGGGUGGUAUGUUCCAUCUAAAGCUAAAUAUCAGAGAGGAGACCGAUAGCAAACAAGUACCGUGAGGGAAAGGUGAAAAGAACCUUGAAAAGAGGGUGAAAAGUGCGUGAAAUUGCUGAGAGGGAAGCAGACACACUCAUUAUUGCUGUGUCCAAAUCAAUUGUCACUGGGCAGCGUGGUGGUGUAAGGAUGGACAUUAUUGUUCACCAAGCAUUAUCAUUAAGUUCUGUGGCAGUGCACUUUGGAUGUGGCAACCACCGGCCCUGCGACUUGGAGGAUAAAGCCUUGUGCUUGGAAGCAGCAUUUGCUGUGAAGGCAUGGGGUGGGACUUUAGGUUUCAUGGACGAACUGAGCGGCAUUAUCUGGCCUGGUUGGGGCAGUGUAGGUGCUAGUGCUAAGACAAGGCAACUUGUCCGGUGCUGGUGUUGAAUCUCGCUUCAGCUGGUGCAGAUGUCGCGCAUGGUGGGAUAUUUGGGUGCGUCCGUCCCGUCUUGAAACACGGACCAAGGAGUUUAACUUGUAUGCAAGUGCGAGAGUUUAAAACUUUUGCGCGAAGUGAAAGCAAUUGUGGGAAAGGAGCUGAGAGUAGGCCCUUGCACCACAGACCGAUCUAGAGACAUGUCAAAGGAUUCGAGUUGGAGCAUAUAAGUUAAGACCCGAAAGAUUACGAACUAUACUUGUGUAGAACGAAGCCAGAAGAAAUCCUGGUGGAAGUUCGAAACGGUUCUGACGUGCAAAUCGAUCGUCAAACAUGAGCAUAGCGGCGAAAGACUAAUCGAGUAAUCUAGUAGCUGGUUCCUUC